ensembl:snRNA U4 U4 spliceosomal RNA
AAGUUUGAGGAGUGGCAGUAUCAUAGCCAAUGAGGUUAAUCCGAGGCGUGAUUAUUGCUAGCUGAAAACUUUUCCUUGGGUUCUGAAUCAAUGCAGCUCUCCUACUGCAACCCCCUCUAGGGUAGGAGUGCAGAAACAGGGGUUCAUG